rnacentral:rRNA from 1 species
UACGUAGGGUCCGAGCGUUGUCCGGAAUCACUGGGCGUAAAGGGCGCGUAGGCGGCCUGAUAAGUAGGGGGUGAAAUCCUGCGGCUUAACCGCAGGGCUGCCUUCUAAACUGUCAGGCUAGAGCACGGUAGAGGCAGAUGGAAUUCCCGGUGUAGCGGUGGAAUGCGUAGAGAUCGGGAAGAACAUCAGUGGCGAAGGCGGUCUGCUGGGCCGUUGCUGACGCUGAGGCGCGACAGCGUGGGGGAGCAAACAGG